GACGAACGCUGGCGGCGUGCUUAACACAUGCAAGUCGAACGGAAAGGCCCUGCUCUUGUGGGUUGCUCGAUUGGCGAACGGGUGAGUAACACGUGAGUAUCCUGCCCUUGACUUUGGGAUAACUCCAGGAAACUGGGGCUCAUACCGGAUAGGAGCUUCUGCUGCGCGGGGGUGGUUGGAAAAUUUCGGCCGUUGGGGAUGGACUAGAGGCUUAUCGGCUUGUUGGUGGGGUAGUGGCUUACAAAGCCUUUGACGGGUAGCCGGCAUGAGAGGGUGAACGGCCACAAUGGGCCUGAGGUAGGGCCCAGAAUCCUACGGGAGGCAGUAGUGGGGAAUAUGGCAGAACGGGCGGGAGUGUGAUGCAACAACGCCGCGUGCGUGAUGCCGUCCUUCGGGUUGUAAACCGCUUUCGCCUGUGACGAAGCGUGAGUGACGGUAAUUGGUAAAGAAGCACCGGCUAACUACGUG
rnacentral:rRNA from 1 species